UACGUAGGUGGCGAGCGUUGUCCGGAUUUACUGGGCGUAAAGAGCGCGCAGGCGGCUGGUCAAGUCCGAUGUGAAAGCUCCCGGCUUAACUGGGAAAUUGCAUCGGAAACUGGUCGGCUGGAAGGUGGGAGAGGGUAGCGGAAUUCCCGGUGUAGUGGUGAAAUGCGUAGAUAUCGGGAGGAAUUUUUAAUGAGACGGCGACCACCGAGAUCUACACUGACGCUGAGGUGCGAAAGCGUGGGUAGCAAACAGG
rnacentral:rRNA from 1 species